AUUCUCCGUGAAUGUGCAGUGUCGAAGCGAAGGUGUUAAGCUCGCCGCCUGGGAAGUAUGGUCGCAAGACUGAAACUUAAAGGAAUUGGCGGGGGAGCACUACAAGGGGUGCGGCGUGCGGUUUAAUCUAACUCAACGCAGAAAAUCUCACCAGGAGCGACGGCAGGAUGAAAGUCAGGCUGAAGGCCUUACUUGACGAGCCGAGAGGUAGUGCAUGGCCGUCGUCAGCUCGUGCCGUAAGGUGUCCUCUUAAGUGAGGCAACGAGCGAGACCUGUACUCACAAUUGCUAGCGACUUCUUCGAAGGAUCGAGCACUUUGUGAGAACUGCCCUGGAAACAGGGAGGAAGGUGCAGGCUACGGUAGGUCUGUAUGCUCCGAAUCUCCUGGGCUACACGCGCGCAACAAUGGUAGGGACAAUGGGAUGCAACUCCGAAAGGAGAAGCUAAACCUCUAAACCCUAUCCCAGUCCAGAUCGAGGGUUGAAACUCACCCUCGUGACGCCGGAAUCCCUAGUAACCAGACAUCAUCAUUGUCCGGUGAAUGUGUCCCUGCUCCUUGCACACACCGCCCGUCAAACCAACCGAGCAGGGUUCAGAUGAGCCUCGGCCUAUUAGUCAAGUCGAAUCUAAGCUCAGUGAGGUGGGUUAAGUCGUAACAAGGUAGCC
rnacentral:rRNA from 1 species